AAAGUGUUUCUAGAAAUAA
rnacentral:rRNA from 1 species